GUUCCAGACUCCUACGGGAGGCAGCAGUGGGGAAUAUUGCACAAUGGGGGAAACCCUGAUGCAGCAACGCCGCGUGAGUGAAGAAGUCAUUCGUGCUGUAAAGCCCUAUCAGCAGGAAAGAAAAUGACGGUACCUGACUAAGAAGCCCCGGCUAACUACGUGCCAGCAGCCGCGGUAAUACGUAGGGGGCAAGCGUUAUCCGGAUUUACUGGGUGUAAAGGGAGCGUAGACGGCAGUGCAAGUCCGGAGUGAAAGCCCGGGGCUCAACCCUGGGACUGCUCUGGAAACUGUAAAGCUGGAGUGCGGGAGGGGCAGGCGGAAUUCCUGGUGUAGCGGUGAAAUGCGUAGAUAUCAGGAGGAACACCGGCGGCGAAGGCGGCCUGCUGGACCGUAACUGACGUUGAGGCUCGAAAGCGUGGGGAGCAAACAGGAUUAGAUACCCCUGUAC
rnacentral:rRNA from 1 species